AAAAAAAAAAAUGAAAGUGCUUAACACAUGCAAGUCGAGCGAACUGAUUAGAAGCUUGCUUCUAUGACGUUAGCGGCGGACGGGUGAGUAACACGUGGGCAACCUGCCUGUAAGACUGGGAUAACUUCGGGAAACCGAAGCUAAUACCGGAUAGGAUCUUCUCCUUCAUGGGAGAUGAUUGAAAGAUGGUUUCGGCUAUCACUUACAGAUGGGCCCGCGGUGCAUUAGCUAGUUGGUGAGGUAACGGCUCACCAAGGCAACGAUGCAUAGCCGACCUGAGAGGGUGAUCGGCCACACUGGGACUGAGACACGGCCCAGACUCCUACGGGAGGCAGCAGUAGGGAAUCUUCCGCAAUGGACGAAAGUCUGACGGAGCAACGCCGCGUGAGUGAUGAGGCUUUCGGGUCGUAAAACUCUGUUGUUAGGGAAGAACAAGUACGAGAGUAACUGCUCUACUGAUCGUGCUCCAG
rnacentral:rRNA from 1 species